rnacentral:rRNA from 1 species
GACGAACGCUGGCGGCGUGCUUAACACAUGCAAGUCGAACGGAAAGGCCCUGCUUUUGUGGGGUGCUCGAGUGGCGAACGGGUGAGUAACACGUGAGUAACCUGCCCUUGACUUUGGGAUAACUUCAGGAAACUGGGGCUAAUACCGGAUAGGAGCUCCUGCUGCAUGGUGGGGGUUGGAAAGUUUCGGCGGUUGGGGAUGGACUCGCGGCUUAUCGGCUUGUUGGUGGGGUAGUGGCUUACCAAGGCUUUGACGGGUAGCCGGCCUGAGAGGGUGACCGGCCACAUUGGGACUGAGAUACGGCCCAUACUCCUACGGGAGGCAGCAGUGGGGAAUAUUGCACAAUGGGCGGAAGCCUGAUGCAGCAACGCCGCGUGCGGGAUGACGGCCUUCGGGUUGUAAACCGCUUUCGCCUGUGACGAAGCGUGAGUGACGGUAAUGGGUAAAGAAGCACCGGCUAACUACGUG